rfam:Stegodyphus mimosarum contig24852, whole genome shotgun sequence.
UACCUUGUUGAUCCUGCCAGUAGUCAUAUGUAUAUCUGAAAGAUUAAGCCAUGGAUGCCUAAGUGAAUGCUGUAUUAUGGAGAACUGUGAACGGCUCAUUAAAUCAGUUAUGCUUCCUUGGAUUGUGCCUUACUACUUGAUAUAACUGUGGCAAUACUACAGCUAACACAUCCAGCAGAGCCCAACACAUCCAGCAGAGCUCCGUCCCUCUGGGGAUAACUGCUUUUAUUAGACCAAAACCAACUGGACCUUGUGUCCAUAUUAUGUAGUGAUUCCAUAUAACUUAUCGUACGGCUCGUCCUGGCAACAUACGUUUCAAGUGUCUAAAGCCUUAUCAACUGGUGAUAGUAGGUUAUGCACCUACCACAUUCAUAACAGGUGAUGGGAAAUCAGGGUUCGAUUCUGGAGAGAGAGCCUGAGAAAUUGCUAUUUUUCCAUUA